GCAGGGGGCGCUGGCGGAAAGUUUUACAAAAGGGGCGUGCUGAGACUCCUAUGGGGGGCGUUUGCUCCAAGGAUGCCUCCUGGACGUCUCCCUGGUGAGGCUUUCCAGGCAUGUCCCACUGGGAGGAGGCCCUGGGGAAGACCCAGGACACGCUGGAGGGAUGAUGUUUCUCAGCUGGCCUGGGAACGCCUUGGGAUUCCUCCAGAGAAACUGGAACAAGUGGUUGGGAAGAGGGAAGCCUGGGCCUCCCUUCUGAAGCUGCUACCCCCGCGACCUGACCCUGGUUCCCUCUCGGUGCCUCCCACCCUCCCGACUCCCAGUGGUCUGUUCGAUUAUUGGCACAUCAAAGUUCACCUGUAUGUGAACAUGGCCUUGAAAAGGGAUCAAGAGUUGAGGGCAGAAAAGGGAAAAAAGAAGAGACAGCAGGGUGAUAGUUGCAUGUCGUUUACAGUCUGUGACAAAAACCCAACAUUUUACAUGUGGUUAUUCACAGAUCAAUCAACAAUUUGCAGGUUUGAAUGAAUGACAAACUAAAAGAACUACAAAAGCAACAAAGUC